GACGAACGCUGGCGGCGUGCCUAAUACAUGCAAGUAGAACGCACAGUUUAUACCGUAGCUUGCUACACCAUAAACUGUGAGUUGCGAACGGGUGAGUAACGCGUAGGUAACCUGCCUGGUAGCGGGGGAUAACUAUUGGAAACGAUAGCUAAUACCGCAUAAUAUUAAUUAUUGCAUGAUAAUUGAUUGAAAGAUGCAAUUGCAUCACUACCAGAUGGACCUGCGUUGUAUUAGCUAGUAGGUGAGGUAACGGCUCACCUAGGCGACGAUACAUAGCCGACCUGAGAGGGUGAUCGGCCACACUGGGACUGAGACACGGCCCAGACUCCUACGGGAGGCAGCAGUAGGGAAUCUUCGGCAAUGGACGAAAGGCUGACCGAGCAACGCCGCGUGAGUGAAGAAGGGUUUCGGAUCGUAAAGCUCUGUUGUAAGAGAAGAACGGGUGUGAGAGUGGAAAGUUCACACUGUGACGGUAUCUUACCAGAAAGGGACGGCUAACUACGUG
rnacentral:rRNA from 1 species